rnacentral:rRNA from 1 species
AUUGAACGCUGGCGGCAGGCCUAACACAUGCAAGUCGAACGAGCGGCGGACGGGUGAGUAAUGUCUGGGAAACUGCCUGGUGGAGGGGGAUAACUACUGGAAACGGUAGCUAAUACCGCAUACCAUCAGAUGGACCCAUAUGGGAUUAGCUUUUUGGUGGGGUAACGGCUCACCAAGGCGACGAUCCCUAGCUGGUCUGAGAGGAUGACCAGACACACUGGAACUGAGACACGGUCCAUACUCCGAGGGGAGGCAGCAGUGGGGAAUAUUGCACAAUGGGAGCAAGCCUGAUGCAGCCAGGCCGCGUGUAUGAAGAAGGCCUUAGGGUUGUAAAGUACUUUCAGUGGGGAGGCGUUACCCGCAGAAGAAGCACCGGCUAACUCCGUGCCAGCAGCCGCGGUAAUUC